rnacentral:rRNA from 1 species
GGUGGGUUUGUAAGUCAGAUGUGAAAGCCUCCUGUUCAACGGGAGAAUUGCAUCUGAAACUGUGAGUCUUGAGUGUAGGAGGGGAGAAUGGAACUUCUGGUGGAGCGGUGAAAUGCGUAGAUAUCAGAGGGAACGCCGGCGGCGAAAGCGAUUCUCUGGCCUAUUACUGACACUCAGUGUGCGAAAGCUAGGGGAGCAAACGGGAUUAGAUACCCCGGUAGUCCUAGCCGUAAACGAUGGGCACUAAGUAGAGGGGUUU